CAGCUGGGAUUAGAACCAGGAUCUCCUGACUCACAGUCCCAUGCUCUUUUCACUGUGCCAUGAGCAUCUCAUCUGGCCUACUUCCUCAGCUGUCCCUUCCCUCCAUCCCAGUAUUACAUCCCUAUAACUCUAUCAAAUCAGCCAUAUAGGAUUAUGCUUUGCCCUGAAAUUUUCCUUCUGGUGGAAAAUCUUCCGAAAAGAUUUUCUCUAAUAUUUGAAGAAGAAGCUGCCCCUCAAGAACCUCAAGAAUUCUGUGGCAGAGGCUGAUAAUUGUACUGUGGAAACAGUUGAUUUGCCCUGAGGACUCCAGAAUGGAGGAGAAGGAAGAGAGAGAGAGAAAGAGAGGGAGAGAGGUUGAGACAAGAGGAUUGUAACCGGAAGGCGACAGACAUUUAACAACUCUGCUAAGCUUCAUCGGAAUGCGCAACUUUGGUGUGACAGUUGCUUUUACUACAAGCCAAAAUGUGAUUCAUUCUCAGGAAGUGCUAGAUGCCAACCACUCAGCAAAAACCCUUUCCAAACCUCAACAGUGUGUCAGGGCCUCAGCUGCUGCCAGGACUGUCAGGUGAUAGAGAGGGAAUUUUCCAAAUUGAUGAAGUAAUCACUUUGGAAUACUGGGUGAAAACUGAGGCACCUCUUAAAGACUUCAAAAUGGCAUUAGAUCGCUUCUCUAGAUGGAGAAAGCAAUUUAAAAUGAUACUGUGAUUUGAAGAUUUAAAAUAAUAAUGGCAGAUGGUGAACCCAUU